rnacentral:sRNA from 1 species
CCUCCAUGAUCUGGGGACAGAUGAGGUGCACGUGGCAGUCGAUGGCGCCCGCGGUGACGAUGCGGCCGUUGCCCGCGAUGAUCUCGGUGGACGGCCCGACGACCAGAUCGCGGUGAACGCCGUCCAUGAUGUCCGGAUUGCCGGCCUUGCCGAUCGCGACGAUGCGUCCGUCGCGAAUGCCGAUGUCGGCCUUGAUGAUUCCCCAGUAGUCGAGGAUCACCGCGCCGGUGAUGACGGUGUCGGGGGCGCCGUCGGCGCGGGUGACGCGGCCUUGGCCCAUCGAUUCGCGAAG